rnacentral:rRNA from 1 species
UACGAGGGACCUAGCGUUGUUCGGAAUUAUUGGGCGUAAAGGGUGUGUAGGCGGCCAUACAAGUCAGUUGUGAAAGCCCCGGGCUCAACCCGGGAAGUGCUUCUGAUACUGUUUGGCUUGAGUAUUGGAGAGGAUAGUAGAAUUCCAGGUGUAGUGGUGAAAUACGUAGAUAUCUGGAGGAAUACCAGUGGCGAAGGCGGCUAUCUGGCCAUAUACUGACGCUGAAACACGAAAGCGUGGGGAGCAAACAGG